UACGUAGGGGGCGAGCGUUGUCCGGAUUUAUUGGGCGUAAAGAGCUCGUAGGCGGUUCCGUAAGUCGGAUGUGAAAACUCGGGGCUCAACCCCGAGACGCCAUCCGAUACUGCGGUGACUUGAGUCUGGUAGGGGAACACGGAAUUCCUGGUGUAGCGGUGAAAUGCGCAGAUAUCAGGAGGAACACCGGUGGCGAAGGCGGCACUCUGGGCCGGUACUGACGCUGAGGAGCGAAAGCGUGGGGAGCGAACAGG
rnacentral:rRNA from 1 species